ensembl:lncRNA LOC102550644 uncharacterized LOC102550644
GACCUGGCUGCCAUAGAGUGCCAUAUUGAUGGAAAUGGCCUGUGCCUCCGCUUGAGGCCAUGAGAAAGCGCAUGCCCGAUGCUCCUACUGAACACAAAGAGCAAGGAAGCUACUUUGGCAGUGAUAUCAGUGACUGCAGUUGAGAAAGAGGACAUAGAAGAGUUCUGUGACUACCCCACCCCAAAAUAACACCCUAAAAUGAAAGUCAUCGGAGAGAACCCUUCAAAAUUGUGAUAAAGAUGCUAAAUGGUAGCUUUCCACCAUUGAUGGCAUCUGGGAGGGACUGAGGUGGAGAAGGACUCAGUUUUCUUUAGGAUGCUGACCCCAGGGAGUUUGAUCAUUCUCCAAUGUGAGACAGAAGAGGGCCACUUAUUCAUUGGUAGGCUUGGAGAUCAAAGCCAAGGCUUCAAAAACACUAAGGAAGUGCCAUCUACCAGAAAACCACAUCCCCAGCCCUGAAACAUUUAUUUGGAAACUUGGAUGAUACUUCUUAGGAAAACCCUUGGCUAAAGACGGAAUGAAGAUUUAAACAAAUAAGAAGAAACUGAGUCACAGCUGACGUGCUUCAUUGAUUAGGAUUGGACAUCUAACAAGGCUAUCACUCAGAGCACCGGGAUCCUAGUGUGGGUUUUCACAGUUCAUCUCAGAAUGGAUUUGGGGUAUGAAGAACGUGAUCACAGUUCCUAUUCAAGGUUCUCCUUUAACCUAAAAACCAUCCUAGCUGAAGAUCAAAAGAAAGAUUGGCAUUGAAUGAAGUACUGACUUAUACAGGACACCAAAAACACCAGAUCAGCUUAGUUUACCUUUCUGUGUGAUCAGACCUCCACACGUCUUCUCCUUUCUUCACCAACUUGCUACUCUGAGAGGUCUUGCACCCUGACGAUUGCAAGCAUAGCC